GCAUUCGGGUGGCCUAUGUGGUAAGAGCGUCCGCCUUGAAUGAGUGAGGUCGCCGGUUCGAAUCCCGGCCGAGUCAUA